rnacentral:ncRNA from 1 species
GGGAGCAGGUGCCUCGAUAUCGAGGCUAAAAAGAGAAGCCGGUAUAAGCCGGCGCGGUCCCGCCACUGUAAGGGGAGCCGCUCUGCUGGAUGGGCAGCCAUCGACAGGUCACUGGAGGAAAUUCCGGGAAGGCGCAGAGCAGCAAUGAACCGAGCCAGGAGAACUGCCUGCCCG